UCCGGUGUGGUCUAGUGGCUAGGAUACCUGGCUCUCACCCAGGAGGCCCGGUUUCGAUUCCCGGUACCGGAA
rnacentral:tRNA from 1 species